UCUAUCCACUUAUUUUUCCUUUGACAACUCUUGUAGCACCGACCACUACGAUCAUGUGUCUCUUCCGUCCAUUGCUCUUCCUUCAAUUAUCGGCCAACAACUUAGGAGAACAUGUGGUCCAAUCAAUCCACGGCCCGACCGAGUCACUCUCCGAUUCGAUCGAGUCGCCGUCUAGUCGCUCGGCUCUUUAUGAGGGUAAAUUGACACCAUCAGCCGACAACCCCACUCAUAAUUUUGGAACAGCCGACAACUGAGGGCUUUCGUUGGCCCGAUAUGUUCUUCGGCAUAGGGCUACACCGCACUGCACGGCCCAAGACAGACGGAGGGAACUGAAACAGAGACAGUGCAGAAAAAGAAGACGAGAAUUCAGAUGCCGCUCGUAUCUAAUGGCGCUGAAGGUAUCGGUCAUCUUCCUCGACGAGUGUCCCGUUUCAGAUGCUUUAUUAAUGCGCGUGCGGCCAUCAUCGGGUAUGCUCGUUGUCCAACUUGGUGAACUUUUCAUGUUUCUGCUACACUUGAUCAGAAUUUGCCACAGCUUAGUUAGAGUGUGCAAUUAGCCAUAUUACAGAUCACAUUCUUUAUUUACAAUUUGGCUUGAGAACCUGCUGAUCAGUAUCACCGAUUCCUAUUUUGGUUAUAGAAUCGGAGAACUAAGGCAUAAUGAACAGUGAAGGAUGGUUCCUCCUUCAGAAACCUCUUUCGAGGUCUGCCCGUAAGACCAUACUGGCCCAACCCAAAGCGUACAAUUCCUCAUGGCUUAGAGAGUUCGCACCAGUGUGGAUCUUGUUCCUAUGUCAAGUUUAGCUUCUUUCAGAGUUCGCACCAGACUUGCUUCUUGCAUGAAAGAAUUGUGUAGCUUCUUUCAGAGCUUGAGCCCUCAACCGACCAAUCAUUUCCCAAAUGCAAGUUGCCAAUGAGUAACAUGUCAAAAUCUUAUACUUUCCAUGACCAAAUCCAAAAAGUCAGUUACUAUUGACAUACCUUGCCAUCUUUGGCUAUUAUUGAAUUUUGGAAAAUUAUAAGACUCAUCCGCACCAGAUUAUCGAGCAUCUUCCGAGUGCACGGGACACCUGUUCUUGAUUGAGGCCCUCCCUGGAUUUUCUUUUAAACUACUAUUGCUUGGAAGAGAGGGAUUCUAUGCAAACACAGGAAAUUUAUUCUGUGAGAGAAUUUAUAAUUAAACAAAAGAAACAGUAAAUUACUUUUUUACUUGCAAUGUGUAUGCGCAAUAUACUAAGUUUCAAGUGUGAUUCACUCGUCAGAAUGGUAUGCUGUACUGGUGCCAUCCAGUAUGGAAUAAAACUGAAAUUGACAUCUUCAAGUGCCGUAGAUAGACUUGAUACAACUCUUUUGCCCCUUGUAUUUGACCUUUUUUUCUUGUAUUGUCCAUUUGACAAGUUCCUUUUGAUAGUUAUGAUUGUUAUAUCUUUAUGAAACCUCAUCUUUUGGUC